rnacentral:rRNA from 1 species
AACGAACGCUGGCGGCAGGCUUAACACAUGCAAGUCGAAUGCACCGCAAGGUGAGUGGCAGACGGGUGAGUAACACGUGGGGAUUUGCCCAAUGGUACGGAAUAGCUCCGGGAAACUGGAAUUAAUACCGUAUGUGCCCUUCGGGGGAAAGAUUUAUCGCCAUUGGAUGAACCCGCGUCGGAUUAGCUAGUUGGUGGGGUAAAGGCGCACCAAGGCGACGAUCCGUAGCUGGUCUGAGAGGAUGAUCAGCCACACUGGGACUGAGACACGGCCCAGACUACUACGGGAGGCAGCAGUGGGGAAUAUUGGACAAUGGGCGCAAGCCGGAUCCAGCCAUGCCGCGUGAGUGAUGAAGGCCCUAGGGUUGUAAAGCUCUUUCGCCGACGAAGAUAAUGACGGUAGUCGGAGAAGAAGCCCCGGCUAACUUCGUGCCAGCCGCCGCCGUAACAC